CCUACGGGUGGCAGCAGUGGGGAAUAUUGCGCAAUGGGCGCAAGCCUGACCCAGCAACUCCGCGUGAAUGAAGACGGCUUUCGGUUUGUAAACUUCUAUUAACAGGGAAGACCAUGAGACUAUACCUCUUGAAUACGCCACGUCUAACUACGUGCCAGCCGCCGCUGUAAUACGUAGGUGGCAAGCUGUGUCCGGUUUUACUGGGUGUAAAGGGCGUGCAGCCGGGAGGGCAAGUAGGAUGUGAAAUCCCGCGUCUCAACCGGGGAACUGCAUUUGAAACUGUUUUGCUUGAGUACCGGAGAGGUAAGCGGAAUUCCUUGUGUAGCGGUGAAAUGCGUAGAUAUAAGGAAGAACACCAGUGGCGAAGGCGGAUGACUGGACGGCAACUGACGGUGAGGCGCGAAAGCGUGGGGAGCAAACAGGAUUAGAUACCCGAGUAGUC
rnacentral:rRNA from 1 species